rnacentral:tRNA from 1 species
GUUGUGGGUCAGUGGUAGAGCACUUGCAUAGCACACAUGAGGCCCUGGGUUCAAUACCCCGGCACAACA